rnacentral:rRNA from 1 species
GAUGAACGCUGGCGGCGUGCCUAAUACAUGCAAGUCGAGCGAACAGAUGAGGAGCUUGCUCCUCUGACGUUAGCGGCGGACGUGUGAGUAACACGUGGAUAACCUACCUAUAAGACUGGGAUAACUUCGGGAAACCGGAGCUAAUACGGGAUAAUAUAUUGAACCGCAUGGUUCAAUAGUGAAAGACGGUUUUGCUGUCACUUAUAGAUGGAUCCGCGCCGCAUUAGCUAGUUGGUAAGGUAACGGCUUACCAAGGCAACGAUGCGUAGCCGACCUGAGAGGGUGAUCGGCCACACUGGAACUGAGCCACGGUCCAGACUCCUACGGGAGGCAGCAGUAGGGAAUCUUACGCAAUGGGCGAAAGCCUGACGGAGCAACGCCGCGUGAGUGAUGAAGGUCUUCGGAUCGUAAAACUCUGUUAUUAGGGAAGAACAAAUGUGUAAGUAACUAUGCACGUCUUGACGGUACCUAAUCAGAAAGCCACGGCUAACUACGUG